GACGAACGCUGGCGGCGUGCUUAACACAUGCAAGUCGAACGGAAAGGCCCUGCUUUUGUGGGGUGCUCGAGUGGCGAACGGGUGAGUAACACGUGAGUAACCUGCCCUUGACUUUGGGAUAACUUCAGGAAACUGGGGCUAAUACCGGAUAGGAGCUCCUGCUGCAUGGUGGGGGUUGGAAAGUUUCGGCGGUUGGGGAUGGACUCGCGGCUUAUCAGCUUGUUUGUGGGGUAGUGGCUUACCAAGGCUUUGACGGGUAGCCGGCCUGAGAGGGUGACCGGCCACAUUGGGACUGAGAUACGGACCAGACUCCAACGGGAGGCAGCAGUGGGGAAUAUUGCACAAUGGGCGGAAGCCUGAUGCAGCAACGCAGCGUGCGGGAUGACGGCCUUCGGGUUGUAAACCGCUUUCGCCUGUGACGAAGAGUGAGUGACGGUAAUGGGUAAAGAAGCACCGGCUAACUACGUG
rnacentral:rRNA from 1 species